rnacentral:lncRNA from 1 species
AUCACUCCAGGCUCAGCUUGCAGAGACAAUGGAUGCUCUACUUGGGAUCCUCGAUAGCACCCCGUGGUGAUUUAAAUACGCUUGGCUUGGGGAAUGGCACUAUUAGAAAUUGCCAUGUUGGAGUAGGUGUGGCCUUGUUGGAGGAAGUGAGUCCCUGAGGGGGUGGGUUUGGAGACCCUUCUCCAUGUAGGAGUCAGUUUCUCUUGUUUGCCUUAGGAACAAGAUGUAGAAUUCUCAGCUUCUCCAGCACCAUGCCUGCCUGGACACUGCCAUGCUUCCUGCCGUGAUGAUAAUUGACUGAAUCUCUGAGCCGAGAAAGCCAGUCUGAGAAGGAAGGAAACAUGGGGAAGAAGAGAACAGUACCUGAGACCCCUGGAUCCAGCUGGAACUGAAGGCACCUGCUGUACCGUGGACCUGAGGUGGUUUCCACCUGCUCAUGUGUUUGACUGCUGAGGCUGUUUUGGGAAGUUGCAGAAAGAGGUAGAGCCUUGGUGGAAGAAGCAGACCAUUUGGGGUGGGACUUGAGGUUUUAGAACCUAAGCCCACUUCUCGUCCUCCUAACUUUGAAAGCACCAUGACCAGCUCCCUCUUAUUCCCAUAUUCCCAUCGCCAUGCCUCACCCACCAAGAUGGGCUGCAUUGCUUCUAAAACCACGAGCCAAGAUAAACCUUUCCUUCCUAUAGUUGCUCCUCCUCGGAUAUCUUCUGACUGCAACAAGCAAAAUAAAGCAACUAAUGUUUACACAAGGUCACGCAUGCAGGAAUGAGGAAUUGAACCCAGAUCUACUCAGCCUACAGCAGCCUCAUUUUCCUUCCCAGUCUUCAACACAUCCCGAAAGGAGAAGACAUAUCUUGCAGAGGUCUGAUAAGGCACUGGCAAAUGGCCUGUUAUGGGCUCAGAAAGGAGUUCUAGCCCAGCCUUCACUUCUAAGCAUUGCCAACUGGAAUGGUUGACUUCCUUGGGCCUCGGUUUCUGGUUCUGAAGAGCAGGAAGAAAUUUUGUCUCUACACCUCCUGACUGGAGUCUUGAGGUCCACAGCGAGUGCAUAGAAGGCACCGGCUGAGCUGAAUGAGAUGAUGCUGUCGUCUCAGCACAGCAGUGAGCUCCCCCCACCCCAAAGUUGGGAAGUGAUGGUUUCACAGUAAUACGUGUGCUGGAAAACCUGUCCUCUGGACAACACUCUCACCUUCCAGCCUUCCCAGGAUCCCCAGUGUGGCUACUGAGAGAAGACCUUGAACAACAGGCUGGAAGAAGGAGAGACCUCAGAAACAGAAAAAAGGAAAGAGAAAAAGAAGAAGCCUUCUCAGCAGGUUCCAGCAUCUCCUGUUAAGGAUGUUCUGGACCACAGUUCACGUUCAGAAGACUGUCACGAGUUCCCCUGCCCUCCGGCCAGCCUAGCUUCAGCCAGAAGCAGGGUCACAUCACUAGUGACUGCACUAAGAAGAGCUAGAAUUUUCUCCUUCACAUCCUAUAGUCAAGCUUCCCUGUCCUAAAUACUUCACACAUGGCCACAUCUUCAUACCACCUGCAACCUAACUCAAUAGCAUCUCUUACCUAGAGAUGUGGCUAAGUCUGAAAUGCUCUCCCACUCGCUCAAGCUUCAAAUGUUAGUUCCCAAAGUGGUCCUGUACUGAAUGAACAAAUACUUUUAGAAAAUGAAGCUCAACUCACAGAAAUACUUGGCUAAAGGCAGGCAAUCCCGGGCUCUUGUCACACUCUCUGCUUCCUGUCAGCUGUGAUGUCAACAGUCUGCAACACUCACUUCCACUGUCACCCUUUGGAUGGACAAUCCAUAUCUUCCCACCACAAUGGACAGAAACCCUCUGAAACCGUGAGCCAAAAUAAAUCUUUCAUUUCUUCG